GAUGAACGCUAGCGGCAGGCUUAAUACAUGCAAGUCGAGGGACAGCACAGGUAGCAAUACUGGGUGGUAACCGGCAAACGGGUGCGGAACACGUACACAACCUUCCUUUAAGUGGGGGAUAGCCCAGAGAAAUUUGGAUUAAUACCCCGUAAUAUAGUUGAAUGGCAUCAUUUGAUUAUUAUAGCUACGGCGCUUAAUGAUGGGUGUGCGGCUGAUUAGAUAGUUGGCGGGGUAACGGCCCACCAAGUCUACGAUCAGUAGCUGAUGUGAGUAGCAUGAUCAGCCAACCGGGAACUGAGACACGGGCCCGACUCCUACGGGAGGCAGCAGUAAGGAAUAUUGGUCAAUGGACGCAAGUCUGAACCAGCCAUGCCGCGUGAAGGAUUAAGGUCCUCUGGAUUGUAAACUUCUUUUAUAAGGGACGAAAAAAGGUCUUUCUAGAUCGUCUGACGGUACCUUAUGAAUAAGCACCGGCUAACUCCGUGCCAGCCGCCGCCGUAA
rnacentral:rRNA from 1 species